AAGGCUAUACUUUCAGGGAUCAUUUCUAUAGUAUGUUACUAGAGAAGCUUCUCUGACUGUGUAGAGCACCAGAAACCACGAGGAGGAGGCGUAGUGUUCCUUCCUGAGCGUGAAGCCUGCUCUCGGCGCUGCUUCAGUGCAGCUGCUGCUUGCCAUUGAUGAUCGUUCCUGCUAUUUCCUCGGAGACAGCAGGAGGGGAGGAACGCAGUCUGAGUGGCU
ensembl:snoRNA